rnacentral:lncRNA from 1 species
UGGAGAUGUAGAAACGUACGUCUCUAACCAAACAUAGCCGUCGAUAAAGUAGGAACAGUUAGUAACUCGCUGUCACAAGCAGACGCGCGCUGAUAUCGUACAAUACUCAAUAGCUGGACCAUGUUAAAUACAGAAACACCACCACGAACGCAAGCAGCUUUGUCCUUUUUCUUUUCUCUGUUUCGACUUUUUCUACUCGACAUAACAUAGCGACGAGAACUUUCCUUCUCAUUCCUCGACUUCUUUAGUUUAGCAGGCGCUGCACAGGUAACAUUCGGUGCACACAUGUCACUUAUUGCGUGGUUGUUUAUCGAGAAUCAUCCUUUUAUUUGUCU